rnacentral:rRNA from 1 species
GCGACAGGCUUAACACAUGCAAGUCGAGGGGCAGCGGGGGUAGCAAUACCCGCCGGCGACCGGCGCACGGGUGAGUAACGCGUAUGCAACUUACCUAUCAGAGGGGGAUAACCCGGCGAAAGUCGGACUAAUACCGCAUGAAGCAGGGAUCCCGCAUGGGAAUAUUUGCUAAAGAUUCAUCGCUGAUAGAUAGGCAUGCGUUCCAUUAGGCAGUUGGCGGGGUAACGGCCCACCAAACCGACGAUGGAUAGGGGUUCUGAGAGGAAGGUCCCCCACAUUGGUACUGAGACACGGACCAAACUCCUACGGGAGGCAGCAGUGAGGAAUAUUGGUCAAUGGCCGAGAGGCUGAACCAGCCAAGUCGCGUGAGGGAUGAAGGUUCUAUGGAUCGUAAACCUCUUUUAUAAGGGAAUAAAGUGCGGGACGUGUCCCGUUUUGUAUGUACCUUAUGAAUAAGGAUCGGCUAACUCCGUGCCAGCAGCCGCGGUAAUACGGAGGAUCCGAGCGUUAUCCGGAUUUAUUGGGUUUAAAGGGUGCGUAGGCGGCCUUUUAAGUCAGCGGUGAAAGUCUGUGGCUCAACCAUAGAAUUGCCGUUGAAACUGGGGGGCUUGAGUAUGUUUGAGGCAGGCGGAAUGCGUGGUGUAGCGGUGAAAUGCAUAGAUAUCACGCAGAACCCCGAUUGCGAAGGCAGCCUGCCAAGCCAUUACUGACGCUGAUGCACGAAAGCGUGGGGAUCAAACAGGAUUAGAUACCCUGGUAGUCCACGCAGUAAACGAUGAUCACUAGCUGUUUGCGAUACACUGUAAGCGGCACAGCGAAAGCGUUAAGUGAUCCACCUGGGGAGUACGCCGGCAACGGUGAAACUCAAAGGAAUUGACGGGGGCCCGCACAAGCGGAGGAACAUGUGGUUUAAUUCGAUGAUACGCGAGGAACCUUACCCGGGUUUGAACGCAUUCGGACCGAGGUGGAAACACCUUUUCUAGCAAUAGCCGUUUGCGAGGUGCUGCAUGGUUGUCGUCAGCUCGUGCCGUGAGGUGUCGGCUUAAGUGCCAUAACGAGCGCAACCCUUGCCACUAGUUACUAACAGGUAAAGCUGAGGACUCUGGUGGGACUGCCAGCGUAAGCUGCGAGGAAGGCGGGGAUGACGUCAAAUCAGCACGGCCCUUACAUCCGGGGCGACACACGUGUUACAAUGGCGUGGACAAAGGGAAGCCACCUGGCGACAGGGAGCGAAUCCCCAAACCACGUCUCAGUUCGGAUCGGAGUCUGCAACCCGACUCCGUGAAGCUGGAUUCGCUAGUAAUCGCGCAUCAGCCAUGGCGCGGUGAAUACGUUCCCGGGCCUUGUACACACCGCCCGUCAAGCCAUGGGAGCCGGGGGUACCUGAAGUCCGUAACCGCGAGGAUCGGCCUAGGGUAAAACUGGUGACUGGGGC